GGGAAGGACAAGUUUGGGGAGGAGAUGAAGAAAAACGCGCUAGAUGCUGGUGUUAAUGUUCACUACUAUGAGGAUGAGAGUCCAACUGGUACUUGUGCUGUCUGUGUGCUUGACGGCGAAAGGUCACUGGUUGCAAACUUAUCAGCUGCAAACUGUUACAAGGUUGACCAUUUGAAACGGCCAGAGAACUGGGCUUUGGUGGAGAAGGCCAAGUAUUAUUACAUCGCUGGAUUCUUUCUCACUGUUUCUCCAGAAUCUAUUCAGCUGGUUGCUGAACAUGCAGCUGCUAAGAACAAGGUUUUCUCAAUGAAUCUUUCAGCUCCAUUUAUCUGUGAGUUCUUCAAGGAUCAGCAAGAGAAAGUCCUGCCGUAUAUGGACUUUGUCUUUGGUAAUGAAACGGAAGCAAGAACCUUCUCUAGAGUUCAUGGCUGGGAGACUGAUAAUGUUGAAGAAAUAGCUUUGAAGAUCUCCCAAUGGCCAAAGGCAUCAGGAACUCGCAAGAGAAUCACUGUCAUUACCCAGGGUGCUGAUCCAGUUGUUGUGGCUGAGGAUGGGAAGGUGAAGCAGUUCCCUGUAAUUCUAUUGCCAAAAGAGAAACUUGUCGACACCAAUGGUGCUGGGGAUGCAUUUGUUGGAGGUUUCCUUGCACAAUUGGUCCAAGAAAAACCUAUUGCAGAUUGUGUAAAAGCAGGAUGUUAUGCAUCAAAUGUCAUCAUCCAGAGGCCUGGUUGCACAUACCCCGAGAAGCCCGAUUUUUGAAUGAGGGCUUGCCAUUUUCUUACUCCAGUUAAUCAGUAAUAUUUUCAGCUUCUUUUUUAGUAAUUUUGAUUGCUUGAGUUAUGCCUGUUGCUAAUGGUAUUUCCAUAUCCUAAUUCCUAUCUCAUAUAUUGUAAGGGAUUUUAUUAUGUUUGUUCUCCAUCAUUUGAGAAUAACAUUAUAUUGUAAUUGCAA
rnacentral:misc_RNA from 1 species